CACACUCAGCUCCCUAGCCCUCAGCAGCCGAAAGCCUUUUUCCCCAAAAGCAACAACACACGCAGCCCCCUUUGAUUCUCUGAAAGAAAGAAACGAAGAAAGGGAGGAGGGAAACGGGAGAUCAGAGAGGUGGAGAGGGGAAGAGAAAGGACGGCGCCGGUGGGCAUCACUGCCGCCGCGCCGUCGUGUUGCCGUCGAACGAGAGGAAGCCGUGGACCAUAGUCACGGGCGGAAGAGAAAGCGCGAGCCAGGGCACGCGAGACGGAGCCGCCACUGCUGGGUCGCCGUCCAGCCUCGCCCCACCUUCCAGCCUUCAUCACCACCGCGUCCACGCCGUGCCGCCGCCUCUGUUCGUCACACCGUCACUCCUAGCUGCGCCGUCGCCAGUCGCGCGAGAGAGAGAGACGCGCCGUGAGGGGGAAGCCACCGUGCUCUGUCGCCAUCACCUCCUGCCACCAUCGGAGCUCGCGUCACUGUCACCCAUGGCCGUCGCUCCUACUGUGCUCCAUUCGGGUUCUGGGUUGAGCGUGCCGCUGUUGCCAUUGGAAGCCGCUGCUGAGGCCGGGAUGCUAUGGUGGUUUCUAAUGGAGCCGCCGUUGAUAAGUGUGAUGCGGCUAUGCUGAUUCUGAGUCACUGUGUCACUACCAAAGUAAGAAAACUCACUAGAAAAGCAUCAUCGGAGCUGCUGUUCAGUUGAUGCCGCUUCCUGGGUCGCUGCAGUACAAGCUGCCGUUGAUGGAGCUGCUAUGUUCAGCGGAUUCCGCGAAUUUUGACUUUUCGUUGAUCUACCGAAGCUUCUGGCCGCCGCCGGAGCUGUUGCCGGGCCUGUUUGAAAUCGCAGCUGCUUCGUGUCGCUAGUUCAAUAAGUAUUUAUAUUUCGGAAAGCCUCACAUUAGUAUUCCGUUGUGUUCGGUUAAUGAAUAUGAGUUUUGAUAACGUGGGGUCGAGUCCUGAUUAUUGUAUGUUGCGAUUAGUGUUGCCAUGGUUAUUGCGCACGUGACUGGGAGCUGAGGUUUUGGUUGCCGUCGUUCGGAUUGAGGCGGAAAGGACUCUGUGAGACGUUUGGGUUAUGGAAUUGCGUUUUGAGGUAGGGGCGCUUUUCGAAAACUAUAUUUUGUAUAUUGGAAUUAUUACAUAUGGGUAUUGAUGUGAGGAUGUGUAUUUGGUGAUUGUAUCAGUCCUAUGUAUCGUUUGGUUGUUUUGUAUGAUUAUGGGUGUUUGUUUGACUCGACUGUUAUGUGGCUUUGUGAAAUGAAAUGCUUUUGAAAUUGAUUCUUUUAAA